CAGCCACGGUAAGGCAGGAAAGAAGUAAUGCGAGGAAUUAGCAAGCCGCGUUGGGAAACCGAACAGUGGGACAAAGAUGCAUAAUACAUGGUUGGAACAAUGAUGGACGUUGUCGGUAAAUAGAUAAGAGAAAGACAGCGAAUGAAAGUGAUCAGAGACCGAGUGACAAACAGGAGAGGGGAUGAAAGUCUUUGGAUUUUGUUUAAUCUUCCAAGAGAAACAGGGAACGACAAGCGCGUUUAGUAGUGCGGUACACGUCGACCAGUGAUGUUGUUCUUUCUCGUGCCACGUAAACCGGUAUGUAGCGAUCAUACAUAGUGCCUUGUGUUCGACAUAUUUCUCCAGUGAAUUUCUCCGUCGUGAUACCGAUCUGGAAUAAAAAUUUUGAACGUAUGGUUCACGCAGUGUACAUGAUCGUGUUGCAGUGAGUCAGAGAACAAGACCGAACGGAGGAAGGACGUGGCUCGUUGAAACUCGUGACACAGCGGAGUGAUCGAAACGUGGUGGAAAUUCCAUCGUUUCUUUAGUUUUACGCUCGUAUCGUUCGCGUGUUACCUUCUCUAACCGUCUGUCACCUGGUCGAGCUUGACCCGAUUGUCUCUGCCGGCAGAUUGCAGGAAUAUCCCGAGUUGCUGAGUGCUUCUCGCGGCUCCGAAUCGGGACAAGGGAAACGUCGUGGCGUGUUUAAUAUCAUCGUCAAGCACGAUGGCUUGCGAAUCGCUUAAGUAUACCUCGGGAAAGCAGCAUCGGGCGGUGUUUAGCCAGCACGGCCGAGGAAGACGUUGAGAAGCGGACGAAUGAGGCUGCUGCUGAUGAUGAUGAUGUUGUAUAAAUUCUGUCUGUGUCUGUGUCCUGGCGUGCAGCUCAAACGAUGGCCGAUUCACGCGGCUUCAAGCCAAUAAACCAGUUGUGGCAGAGCGCGGCAGUGUCGACGGACCCGGAUUCGGAGUGUCUCUACGAAGAAAUCUCGGGACUUUCGGGGUCCCAGGAUACGGAGCCAGGGCCGGCUGGUGCCGCCGUCGGGGAGGAGGAGGAGGAGGAGGAGGAGGAGGAAGAGGAAGAGGAAGAAGAAGAAGAAGAAGAAGAGGAAGAGGAGGAGGAAGAACGAGGAGCGAGACGACUCGAUUUUGGUGCACAGGUCGGCGGUAGCAGCUGGUGGAGACAUCACAAUAAAGGAGGAAGCGAGAGGAACGUCGGUAACGCGGCGGGUACUGGGAGCGGACGUAAGAGUAGCAAAAGUGUCGGGACUAGCGCGGGAUCGCGCAGCAGGUCGGCCGAUCGGCCAUCGAGCGGACGUCGUAACAUCAUCAGGGUGGAGGAGGAGCAGUAUGCCUCACGAAGAAGUUACGUGGAGUCCGGUACAGGCGCCAUACUGCCGCCUCCUGCUACCGGCCACAAGCUGACCAGGGGGCGUGCAACCAACACCGUCGCCCGCUAUUUACAUUCCGCCUCCACCAACACCGGUCACUACCAUCAUCAUCAUCACGGGUUGCACGGACAGUAUCCGGCCGGAAGUACCGGCAGGCAUCACCAGCAUCAUCACCCAAGCCGCGGCUCGUUCAGUAAUGAGACGCAGGAAGAGAUACAGGAGGACGAUGAAGCCACUCUACGGGAGUUGCUUGUAAGUCUGCAGAAACAGGUCAGCGUUAUGAGUAUGAACUUGAGUGCCAAGCUGGACGAGCUGCAGCGGGGUGACCGCCAGCUGGAGACCACCGUCGCCCUCUGCGAGAUCCGCACCCAGCUGCAGGAACUCACCAAGAGCGUAGAGUCUUGCCAGAGCGAGGUCAGCGAGGUGAAACGGGACAUGGUCGCGAUCAAGCAUGAACUAGAUACAGUACAACAGGUGAAAGAAGAGAUAGAGGAAUUACGAGAAUACGUGGAUCGACUCGAAGAACAUUCUCAUCGACGGAAACUUAGACUUUUGGAGCAGGGGCUAACGCUUUUCCUGUCGUAUGCAAUACUGGCAGCAGUUUUAGGGAUGUUGCAGUUUGGAUACAACACUGGAGUCAUUAAUGCGCCGGAAGUGAAUAUUGAAAAUUUUAUGAAAGACGUGUACAAGGAUAGGUAUGGAGAAGACAUUUCAGACGAUUCGGUGAAGAAAUUGUAUUCGGUGGCAGUGAGCAUAUUCGCGAUCGGUGGUAUGCUAGGUGGUUUUAGCGGAGGAAUAAUUGCCAACAGAUUUGGCAGAAAGGGGGGCUUACUGCUAAACAACGUGCUGGGCAUCGUGGGGGCGUGCCUGAUGGGUUGUACAAAGAUUGCUCAUUCGUACGAAAUGUUAUUCUUCGGACGGUUCAUCAUCGGUGUCAAUUGUGGCUUAAACACCUCGCUGGUUCCCAUGUACAUAUCGGAGAUAGCACCAUUGAACCUGAGAGGCGGCCUAGGCACGGUGAACCAGCUCGCUGUUACGGUGGGCCUCCUGGUCUCCCAGGUGCUGGGCAUCGAACAAAUCCUUGGAACGAACGAGGGUUGGCCGGUUCUCUUAGGGCUAGCUGUCUGCCCUGCCAUUCUACAGUUGUUGCUGCUUCCAGUUUGCCCUGAAUCUCCAAGAUAUUUGCUCAUUACCAAACAGUGGGAGGAAGAAGCCCGUAAAGCUUUGAGAAGGUUGAGAGCCAGUAACCAAGUGGAGGAAGACAUCGAGGAAAUGAGAGCGGAAGAGCGGGCUCAACAAGCCGAGUCUCGAAUAUCGAUGACAGAGCUCAUAUGUAGCCCGACUUUAAGAGCACCCCUCGUUAUCGGUGUGGUUAUGCAACUUUCCCAACAGCUUUCAGGCAUUAAUGCUGUGUUUUACUAUUCGACAAAUUUGUUCACUAGUUCUGGUUUGACAGAGGAGAGUGCCAAGUUUGCAACCAUUGGCAUAGGUGCCAUUAUGGUUUGUAUGACGUUAGUAUCCAUCCCGCUUAUGGAUAGAACCGGAAGACGUACGCUCCACUUGUACGGUCUUGGUGGCAUGUUUAUCUUUUCAAUAUUCAUCACAAUUUCUUUUCUGAUAAAGGAGUUUUUCGGUUAUGUGCAGGAAAUGAUUGAUUGGAUGUCUUAUCUGUCGGUCGUGUCGACGCUCAGUUUCGUCGUGUUCUUUGCUGUUGGGCCUGGCUCCAUCCCUUGGAUGAUCACGGCCGAGCUGUUCUCGCAAGGUCCUAGACCUGCCGCCAUGUCUAUCGCGGUCCUUGUCAAUUGGAUGGCUAAUUUUUUGGUUGGCAUUGGUUUUCCAAGUAUGAAGACUAGCCUUGAAAACUACACGUUCCUACCAUUCAGUGCAUUCCUAGCCAUCUUCUGGAUCUUCACGUACAAGAAGGUUCCUGAGACCAAGAAUAAAACGUUCGAGGAAAUUCUAGCUUUAUUCAGGCACGGUAACGACAGCAGGAGCAGCUUGCGGGACAGCAGACUUUAUGGGAGCAUGCUAAACUGUGUGAAUGCAUUAGAGGGACACAUACCGCCAGCAGAGAGUGCAGCCCUGAUGGUGGCCGAGGAGAAGCCACAUCCUGAUUCAUUAUGAUUCAAAAGUGCAGAGGAAUCAAAAGUGCUGAUUAUAUGAAAAAAAAUAAAUAAAAAUCAAAAAUAUUCUAUUGCUGCUUCGCUACUACAAGACAUAACAAGUGGUCCUAGCAGAGAAACAAUAUCACACUAGUACUUAUAAUAUAUUUUCGUAUUGACAAAUUUCGAAAAUUAUUAGAGGAGUGCAAGUGAACGACACGAUGUCAUUUCCAAUCGUUGAUGUAUCAUAACUAAUACCUUAGAAAUCCAAAAUUUAAUCGUAUCAAUAUUUUUAUAAGCAUUGCUAAAAAUUUUCUUUGGAAUCCCAGGAAAAAUUAAUCUCUUAAAUUACGAAGAAUGCAAUUUAUUAUUUAAACCAUAUUAUUUUUUUUUUGUCAAGAAGAAAAGUAAUUGAAUCAAAUUCACUGUCACUUUAUGCAACUCUUUGCAUUUCAUUGGUCAUAGUCCAAAUUUUUUAGCUUCUUCUUUUCAUGAACUCACACUGCUUCAGCCAAAUACUCACACCAUACACUUGAUUGAAAGUUGAAUAUAUAGUUGAAGUAAUUUUCUUUCAAUAUAGAGCUUAUAUUUCUGACGAUGUUGCAAAAUAUGUGAAUAAUAGUUAUUGUAAAUAAAGAAUUAUUGUGAAUAGAAAAUAUAGGAUAUAAGAUGAAUUUCAUUGUAAUUAUUAUUUUUUAAUUAUAGUCUAACAAAGUAUCAGUAUUAUAAGCUCUAUGAUUUCCAUCUAUGUCUCUCUUCUGUCAUCUGUGUGUGUAAUAUGUAUGGUAAUCUGUUGUCCGAUUAUAUACAUAUGUAUAUCUAAUUCUAGUCAAUUCUAAGUACUCUUAUCAUUAUUCUAAAUAAAAUUGGUAGAUAUAUUGUCUUCAUUUCGAAGAAAAAAAAAAAAUAUAUAUAUAUAUAUACUUAUGCGCUAUUUAACACUGGCCUUUGUAGUAGUUUCAAUGGAGGUAGGCCAUUUAAGGAUAUGCAAUAACACACAUGGGUCGUCAUAGAUCAGUUUAUAAAAUGCUAUAAGACAUAAAGGAAUAAGGAGUGUUGAGAAAAACAUGCAAUGAUUAUAAGAACAAAUUGUUAUCCACAUUAAUAUUAUUUUUUUAUAUGAAACUGUAAAACCGACUUGAAAAAUACUAAAUGCAGUUGGAGCAUGAGUGGUGUUGUAAUGUGGCAUGUCAGCAUGAAUGUAAUUUCAUUUAUUUGGAUUAAAAAAUGAAAGAAGAAUUCUGAAUAGUUUAAUAUUAAUUCUCAUGCACUUUCAUUUCAAUAAUUUUUUUUUUAUUAUCCUUAAGCUUAUCAUUUAUACGAGAAGUAACAUUAAAAGACAUUUAGGCAAUUGAUUUAAAAAAAAAAAAAUUUUUAAAUAAAUAGUACACGUGCUUAAGAUAAUUGAAUGCUUUUCAAAAGCAAUUAUUUCACUUGCUGAACACAACAUUUCAAGGUAUAUCAAAUGUAUCCAUCAUUAACUCUUGAAUGAUGGACAGCUGAAGACGGGUUUUGUAGUAAUAAAUUUCAAGAAAUUUAGAUAAUGUUUUUUCUGAUGAACUUUUACGUUCUUAUAGAGAUUGACCCAUCUUCGACGUAUUCGAGGGUUAAUAACCAUAAACACACUGCACAUGUAUAAAACUUAAGGAGUUAUUAUCAUUGUUCUAUUUUCCAGGUGUUUAUAAAACAUUUUUUGGGAAUUAAAAUUUACUGCACGGAAAAAGAGAAGAGAACGAAAUUACUUUUUAGCUGAUAUUUUAAUAACGAAUUCAUUUCUUAGGAUACCGAUGACACAAACAAUUAAAUUCAUUUAUAUUUAUGUAUGAGAACAAUUAAAAUUCGAUCUCUAAGUUCAGUCUCAAAGUCGAAAUCAAGUUGUGUUUGCAGCUGGAUCCGAGCGAUCUUCCGGCGCACCCGCUCAACCGGAGAGACCACCGCCCCCGCUUCCCCCGCCACGCUUUC